AUAAAUUCCCAUCUUGGAUAUGUCUUUAUCAGCAACAUGAGAACAGAUGAAUAAAAAUUCUCAGACUGGGAGAAAAAUAUGCUAAAGUGCUUCAUUCCCAGAAUAAUAUUCUUGUUAUUUUGUCAUAUGGGCAGCCUACCUGCUUACCUCCUGUCCACACAUCCUAAUAUGAUGCCAACCAGUUAGUAUGUCCUCACUUACUUGCUGACAUGGAUUCUUUGCUUGGCCAAAUUUUAGUCACGUCUUCUGAACAUUCUUCUAGGCCCAUCUGUGCACUUCCUUGUAAAAUACUGUUUUAACUAAGUCAGUUUAGCAACAAUCCCCAAUCUCAGUGUCUGAUCACCCUUGGUAGCUGAUCAUAUUACUUAUCCUCCCUUAUCCCCCAGGUGAUUUCUGAUCUUUCUGGUCUGUUUUUAGCAAGAUCCUGUUAGGUUGGUUUAGCCAGAAUUCCCCUUACCCCUGAUGUUUCUGCUUAGUAAUUUUCCAUCCUCUGACUACCUCAUCUGCUUCUUGGCUACAGAUUCUCACUUGCCCCUGCUGUAUUCGGAGUUGAGUUCAAUCUCCCUAGCCUAUUGUUAAGACUUAGUUGUAGUCAUUCCUGUAGCUACUGCAAUGAUCCUAAAUGAAGUCUUUUUUACUGUGCUUUAACAAGUAUCAUUGAAUAUUUUUUUUCUUUAACAUUACACAAAAAGGAAAACAGCCUGUUCAUUUCAUGGAAGGACGUUUUGGAAAAAUAGAUCCAGACCUACAUAGAAAGAAAGAUUUGAGUGCACACUACAUACAUUAGAAGAGAAAAAUAAAGGAAAAUCAGACUGCUAUGAAAACCAAGAUUCAUCAUUUCGCAUUUCUGUAACCAUGAAUGAGGGUGUUUGUUUUCUUAGAACUGUCCAUGUGGAACAUCCUGUCAGCCUCAGCUUUUUAACAAUCAGGAAGAAAGUCACACAACCACAUAUUUUCUGAACAUAAGCUGAACUUCUACUUCCAUGGAGUGAGUUACUUCACCUCAUUGGCAAAAGACAACAGAAGAGUCCAAAGUCUGAGGGGACUGGGCAAGCUUCUGUCACAUGCUUUCAGAAUGAAGACAAUCUGCAAGAAUUUUAAGUUGUGACCUCUACAGAGAAAAGAAUGAAAAGUAGCCAAAUCUCCACAUGAGAGAUUUUGGACUAUUUUGCAGUGUAAACCCCAUCUGAUUUAUAUGAAGUAAGCAGACUUUCUCUCCAAGAGUUCAAAAUAAAUUAAUUCUAAUGCUAAA
rnacentral:lncRNA from 1 species